AUUGAACGCUGGCGGCAGGCCUAACACAUGCAAGUCGAACGAGUGGCGUACGGGUUAGUAAGGUCUGGGAAACUGCCUGAUGGAGGGGGAUAACAACCGGACACUGUAGCUAAUACCGCAUACCUUCGGAUGGGCCCAGGUGGGAUUAGCUAGUAGGUGGGGUAACGGCUCACCUGGGUGAUGAACCCUACCUGGUCUGAGAGGAUGACCAGUCACACUGGAACUGAGACACGGUCCAGACUCCUACGGGAGGCAGCAGUGGGGAAUAUUGCACAAUGGGCGCAAGCCUGAUGCAGCCAUGCCGCGUGUAUGAAGAAGGUCUUCGGGUUGUAAAGUACUUUCAGCGGGGAGGCGUUACCAGCAGAAUAAGCACCGGCUAACUCCGUGCCAGCAGCCGCGGUAAUAC
rnacentral:rRNA from 1 species